AGGACGAACGCUGGCGGCGUGCUUAACACAUGCAAGUCACGGGGGCUCGCAAGGGCAACCGGCGAACGGGUGCGUAACACGUGAGCAACCUGCCGAUCUGAGGGGGAUAGCCGGCCCAACGGCCGGGUAAUACCGCAUACGUUCUUUUGGCCUCCUGGCUGAGAGAAGAAACCUCCGGGGCAGAUCGAGGGGCUCGCGGCCUAUCAGCUAGUUGGCGGUGUAAUGGACCACCAAGGCGACGACGGGUAGCUGGUCUGAGAGGAUGGCCAGCCACAUUGGGACUGAGAGACGGCCCAGACUCCUACGGGAGGCAGCAGUGGGGAAUCUUGCGCAAUGGCCGAAAGGCUGACGCAGCGACGCCGCGUGUGGGAUGGAAGCAUUUCGGUGUGUAAACCACUGUUGCCCGGGACGACAGCGCUUUCGAGGCGCCUGACGGUACCGGGUGAGGAAGCACCGGCUAACGUCCGUGCCAGCAGCCGCGGU
rnacentral:rRNA from 1 species